rnacentral:rRNA from 1 species
UACGAAGGGGGCUAGCGUUGCUCGGAAUCACUGGGCGUAAAGCGCACGUAGGCGGAUUCUUAAGUCAGGGGUGAAAUCCUGGAGCUCAACUCCAGAACUGCCUUUGAUACUGGGAGUCUCGAGUCCGGGAGAGGUGAGUGGAACUGCGAGUGUAGAGGUGAAAUUCGUAGAUAUUCGCAAGAACACCAGUGGCGAAGGCGGCCGACUGGUCCGGUUCUGACGCUGAGGCGCGAAAGCGUGGGGAGCAAACAGG